rnacentral:rRNA from 1 species
UACGUAGGGGGCAAGCGUUGUCCGGAAUCAUUGGGCGUAAAGAGCGUGUAGGCGGCCAGAAAAGUCCGCUGUGAAAACUCGAGGCUCAACUUCGAGCUGUCGGUGGAAACUUUCUGGCUAGAGUCCGGAAGAGGAGAAUGGAAUUCCUGGUGUAGCGGUGAAAUGCGCAGAUAUCAGGAGGAACACCGGUGGCGAAGGCGGUUCUCUGGGCAUUACCUGACGCUGAGGAGCGAAAGCGUGGGGAGCAAACAGG